GAUGAACGCUGGCGGCGUGCCUAAUACAUGCAAGUCGAGCGAACAGACGAGGAUCUUGCUCCUCUGACGUUAGCGGCGGACGGGUGAGUAACACGUGGAUAACCUACCUAUAAGACUGGGAUAACUUCGGGAAACCGGAGCUAAUACCGUAUAAUAUAUUGAACCGCAUGGUUCAAUAGUGAAAGACGGUUUUGCUGUCACUUCUAGAUGGAUCCGCGCCGCAUUAGCUAGUUGGUACGGUAACGGCUUACCAAGGCAACGAUGCGUAGCCGACGUGAGAGAGGGGUAGGCCACAUUGGAACGGGAACGCGGACCAGAGGCCUAAGGGAGGCAGCAGUAGGGAAUCGUCCGCAAUGGGCGAAAGCAUGACGGAGCAACGCCGCGUGAGAGAUGAAGAUGUUGGGAUCGGAAAAAUCUGUUAUGAGGGAAGAACAAAUGUGUAAGUAAAUAUGCACGGCGUGACGGUACCUGAUCAGAAAGCCACGGCUAACUACGUG
rnacentral:rRNA from 1 species